rnacentral:tRNA from 1 species
GGGCCCAUAGCUCAGCGGCUAGAGCUGCCGGCUCAUAACCGGUAGGUCCCGGGUUCGAAUCCUGGUGGGCCCA